rnacentral:rRNA from 1 species
GNAAAUUCUUUNCCGGGGACGAUAAUGACGGUACCCGGAGAAGAAGCCCCGGCUAACUUCGUGCCAGCAGCCGCGGUAAUACGGAGGGGGCUAGCGUUGCUCGGAAUUACUGGGCGUAAAGGGAGCGUAGGCGGACAGUUUAGUCAGAGGUGAAAGCCCAGGGCUCAACCUUGGAAUUGCCUUUGAUACUGACUGUCUUGAGUAUGGGAGAGGUAAGCGGAACUCCGAGUGUAGAGGUGAAAUUCGUAGAUAUUCGGAAGAACACCAGUGGCGAAGGCGGCUUACUGGCCCAUUACUGACGCUGAGGCUCGAAAGCGUGGGGAGCAAACAGGAUUAGAUACCCUGGUAGUCC